AAUGUAGAGGCUGCGGCAAUCAUCAGUAGCAUUUCGUAUGAGCUCCCGCUCAGGUGAUGAAAUGUAAAAGGGAAAGCCGCCGAAGCUGACCGGUUCGGGAGGACCGUAAUGCUGGGGCUCAGGUUAACAGCCUGAGAACUGUCAUCUUAUUCAAGAUGGAGUGCUACGGUU
rnacentral:ncRNA from 1 species